UACGUAGGGUGCGAGCGUUGUCCGGAAUUAUUGGGCGUAAAGAGCUCGUAGGCGGUGUGUCGCGUCGGCCGUGAAAACCUGCAGCUUAACUGUGGGCUUGCGGUCGAUACGGGCAUCACUGGAGUUCGGCAGGGGAGACUGGAAUUCCUGGUGUAGCGGUGAAAUGCGCAGAUAUCAGGAGGAACACCGGUGGCGAAGGCGGAUCUCUGGGCCUGUCCUGACGCUGAGGCGCGAAAGUGUGGGGAGCGAACAGG
rnacentral:rRNA from 1 species